AUUAAGCUCUGUGUUAUUAUAGUUUUUCUAACUUAAGUACAUAAAACUGGUGCGCAGAGAGUUUGUGGGAUGUGUGAAGUGCAUAAGGAUACUGUCCCCAACAGAGGUUCAGCAGAUGAGUGAAGAAGGCAUGAAGCUUCUGAACAGCGCUUACAGCAGAUGAGUGAGGAAGGCAUGAAGCUUUUGAACAGCGCUUGCAUUAACGAUCUCAAGACUUCUGUUCCAUAAAUUUAAGCAUUUGUUGUAAGCAUUUGAAACCUGCAACUAUCUUAAUAUUAU
rnacentral:lncRNA from 1 species